UACGGAGGGUGCAAGCGUUAUCCGGAUUUAUAGGGUUUAAAGGGUCCGUAGGCGGAUCUGUAAGUCAGUGGUGAAAUCUCACAGCUUAACUGUGAAACUGCCAUUGAUACUGCAGGUCUUGAGUGUUAUUGAAGUAGCUGGAAUAAGUAGUGUAGCGGUGAAAUGCAUAGAUAUUACUUAGAACACCAAUUGCGAAGGCAGGUUACUAAGCAACAACUGACGCUGAUGGACGAAAGCGUGGGGAGCGAACAGG
rnacentral:rRNA from 1 species